rnacentral:lncRNA from 1 species
GCGUGUCUUUGUAGAGGUGAGGAGUGAGAGGGCUCGAGACGAUGUCGGGAAGAUGGAGCUUCGGAGGAUGCUUGCCAAGAAGGAUAAGUUGAUUUUUGAGUUGCAUGUGGCAUUGAAGAGCACUGAAGGGAGCACUGAGAUCAAGGAUACAGAGGGGAGUACUUAUGAGGUGAUAUCAGAUGUGCUGCUUAUUGAGUUUGUGAGUGCUGAUAGCCCGACGGUACCCAUUGAGCAUGCAAACCCACAGCAUAUUGAGAGAUGGGUUACACAGUGGAAGUAGACAGUUCGGAGCUCCCAUCUCCUAUGCAGUCCAUUCAUCCUCCUACCUUCAACUACUCCGGAUCUCAAAAGAAAGCCCAAAAAAAAGUCAGUCCACCAUAGGGAUGAUGACAUAGUAAGUAGAGUAAUGAUUUAGUAGAACAUGCACACUUCAUUCAUAUUUGAUAUCCAACAAACUCAUGCGAUAUGCAGGGAUUUUUUGAGACUAGCAGUGACUUCUCUGGGUUGCAACUUCUAGAUGAUGCGGAGC